UGCCUUACCUGGCAGGGGAGAACCCAUGGUCACCAAGGUGGUUUUCCCAGGGUGAAGCUUGUCUCUUGUGCUGCAGGCAGGCUGAUCCCUGCAAAUUUCUUCAAAUGCAAGAAACUUGACUGCACAGUUUUGUGGCAAUGGGACAUGCCAUUCUUGCUUCCCCCCC
rnacentral:snRNA from 1 species